rnacentral:rRNA from 1 species
CCUACGGGAGGCAGCAGUAGGGAAUAUUGCUCAAUGGGGGAAACCCUGAAGCAGCAACGCCGCGUGGAGGAUGAAGGUUUUCGGAUUGUUAACUCCUUUUGUUAUAGAAGCUAAUGACGGUAUCUGACGCAUAAGCACCGGCUAACUCCGUGCCAGCAGCCGCGGUAAGACGGAGGGUGCAAGCGUUACUCGGAAUCACUGGGCGUAAAGAGCGCGUAGGCGGGAUAGUAAGUCAGAUGUGAAAUCCUAGGGCUUAACCAUAGAACUGCAUUUGAAACUGUUAUUCUAGAGUAUGGGAGAGGUAGGUGGAAUUCUUGGUGUAGGGGUAAAAUCCGUAGAGAUCAAGAGGAAUACUCAUUGCGAAGGCGACCUGCUAGAACAUAACUGACGCUGAUGCGCGAAAGCGUGGGGAGCAAACAGGAUUAGAUACCCGAGUAGUC